UUGAGGCGGCGUAUUAACCAUUAACUGAUGUAAUCUGAAUUACUGUGUAACGUUAUGUUUAUUGACAAUUGACUUACUUUGUUUAACCGUGUAUCAGAGAAUAAAACGUCAUUAGUAUUUAGUCUUCGAACAGGAUCGAACGUUGUUUUUCUUUUCUCGUCACAGUCCGGUCGUUACAAAUUCCGAUUGAAUUGCCGAAUGAAUCAACGUCGAUUCCUCCGUCUCCGUGCCAACCACGAACGAAAACAACAACAACAGCGAUCGCGACUGCACCCGCAGUAGGGCACUGCAUGAAAUUCUUUCCUUCUCUUUCACUCUUACAGAAAUUUUGUAAACAACAAGGCCAAGAAACGUCAAAAUCCCAUACAAAUUCAAAACAGUGCAGUGCCCUGUUGCAACAGGAGAAACGUCAAGUGCAUCGCCGCCAGUGUCGAAGCAAAAGGGGGUUCGGCCCAUUACACCGUCAUCGAAAUACCGUCCCAGGAGACAAACUCGUAUUCCAGAAAAACUUUAAGAUUAUCAGUUGUAGUUUUUAAUAACUUUUCUUAGGAAAGGGAAGAUGUUGCAAUAUUGGUGAACCCCUCGUAGAGUUGGAUUCUGAGAGACUUGAGUGUGUGUAGACCACACGGUAGCGGGAGAGUAGCGACAGGCAGAGAAGCAGCCAACUCAUUCAUUGUUAUACUUGAGACAGAUCAGACCAGUCUCGAGACCAGUAAUAAAGAUAUAAGUUGAGUACAUUAAUCGUAGUAUCUGAUCUUUUACUAUGUUUACAACAACAAAUAAAUUUAAAAAAAACAGGCAAAAACGUUUAACACUACUUGAAAUAAAUUCACUCACUAAACUCUUUACCUUAAUUUCAAAAAAAAAAUCAACACAAAUCCAACUAAAAACUAAACGGAACUAAACUUUUUCUAAAUUCGCGUACUUCUGCUCUCCAGCCGAUCUCGCAGCGAAAUGGCAGAGUUGAAGUUGCGCUUCGUCCAAGAAACUGCCUCUUUUCAAAAUGAUUUCUAUUCAAUUAGUCAAGUAUUAUCAUAAAUCGCGCCAACUAAUUUCAGAUGGCCGUGAAGAGUAUUCCGCGCCAUCAAAAUAUCUUAUAAGCUACGUUUCUUAUAUACACUUUACAUGACUUAGUCAGGACACAAACCAUACACGAACGAUGUUCUCAAAUGUUCAAAUUCAAAGUUGAAGAAAUUCCAAUUGGAUUUUACUUGAAAAGAUAAAAACGUCAAAAGCUACAAAUUUACUAAAAUAAUCAUGAAGUAUAAUAAAAUACAUUGAAAACGGACUCUAAAGUCAAAAUCGAAAUAUUCAAGUAAAAUAAUAAUCCAACUGAAUUUAGAACUUUAUUUUACUUAAAUAGAAUAAAAACGUCAAAACGUUACAAUGGAAAUGCACAGAUAUGCAUUGCUCGGAGCGAUUCCAAUAGGUAAACUAAAAUGCGUCUGCUGUGAGCAGGCUAAAUCUGGUACAGGCAUAGCUUCAUUGUCGGCACGGCAGCCGUGCCAUCAAUGUCCUCUUUGUCGACCAGCAGCUCGAAUCAGGAAUUCAAAGUCCUUGUGACGCAACAAUCGGUGCCAAACUCAGCUUCGGAGUCCUACUAAGCUACGAUGCCGCCCCAAGACAGGAUUUUCAUUUGGUGUCCCGCCAGCUAGCUCGACCGCAGGUGCAUCGACACGUGCGAGUACCGGAUUUUACGGGCGUUGCUUUGGAAGUGUACCCGGAUCUCGUUCUUACCCGGAGGAUCUUGCUGCAGCAGGCAAAAAAAAUUAAAGUUUUUAUUUGUUUUCAUGCUGUUAACGGAUCAAAACAAAAAAAUAUCUUACGUCAUAUUUGACAGACAGCUGAUUGAAAAUUCUCCGCAUCUCUCCGAAAACCCGUAGGGGAGAAGGGGGAUCAUUGGGUUUUAUGGAAAAAUAUAUUAUAGGUGAUUAUAGGGCUAAAGUGCUACUUCGCAGGUUUUUCAAUGUUUUUCAAUAGUUGGAGGCUUCAAAACAUAUGGGUUCUUUGGUAAAGUUUGAUCAAUUAAUUGUCGAAAAGCCGUAGAGCACAUAAAAAUUUUUGACGGGAAUGGUCUAUUCUUUGGAAAUACUUCCAACAACACAAAUUUGCCGAGUUUAUUUCAGGCCAAACAUGUCUAAAGGUCCAAUCUGCAGAAGAGAGGCUCUCUUUGGUUUCUCUCUCUUUCGUUAAUAUCUCAGCUGUUUAUUUGUAUUUUGAUUGCCUCCUUGCAUUAAACGAUGGUCAAAACAAUCGUCUUUUGAUUUGUACUGCAAAAAUAGUUGAAAAGUGUACCAUUACAUUGCAACAAUUGAAGGAGAAAGUAAACAAAGAGAGCCUCUCAAAUGCAGAUAGGACCUAUUGAAAUGUUUAGCCUGAUUUUCUAAAAAAUUCCUCACGGUUUGUACCCACAUAACCUAUUACAAGUUAUACAAACAAUAGACCAUUCCCGUCUGACCUUACCCCCCUUUUUUUUAUUUUUCUUCGAAAGACAUUUGGAUUUCAUGAUCAUUGCCGUUUUUGAAUUUUUUUUAUAUGUAUUCCUGAUUUUCAUACAUUUUUUUGAAAACUCGAAAAAUCUCUCCAAUUUGUAAUUAAAAUCACCGUGCGAAGUAGUGUGUACACCCCUUGCAUGUGGAGAUGUUUUUUACUGUGGAAAAUAUGAUUCCAACCCUAACGUCGUUCUGGCAUGUUUACUUUUCAAACUGUCAAACCCCCAUCGCCUCAUCUCCUGCUGAUUGUAGCAAGAAGACAGUCUUCGUCCCACUGCAUAUUUCGAUAACGGAACCGUGGCCACAGGACCGACGAAAAAAGAACGACGGCAAAGCUGCCGACGAAGUAAGCAGAAAGCAGAAGUCUUCAUCUGUCCAGCGGAUCACCUGUUGUGUCAUCCCCAAUCAUUGUCAGUGACACAGAAGUAUUGCUUUUUCUGAUUUAACAUCCGGAUCCAAGUCGGAAGAGCGGGAGUCCGUCCGUACUCCACAAUCCUAACCGCGAGAAGACAUCCGUGCAAAACGAGUUCCUCGCAGCAUUCCAAUCUCAUACAUAAGUUACCGCAGCACGCCACGACAUCCAUCCCAUACCCCUCGGCAGUUUCAACGAAAAUCUCAUCCAGGCCCAUGUCAUCAACCUCGAACCGGCUCACAGUUCCUUGAAAACCUCGCCCCAUUUCGAUGGACUUUAGGAUCGAUUCCCUGGCACUGUCUUCAGCUUCCUCGGUGUCUUCCUCCAGAAGGUCAUCUACCUACCGGAGGAAGCCUUCACUGACCCACAGAUAUUCAAAGCCAUCAAAUUCAAAUCCGAAUAAUCGAAAGGACCGGAGAGCCUACACGAAAAAAAAUUUCCAUAUUGAAUGUAUAAGAAAAUGUUAUACUUCUUUGCCAUUUCGUUCUCCAUAUAAAUCUCAUUUGGGAGUGUAUUAUGAAGCAUAACAUACAACGAAUAAAAUGUAUAAGUUUUAAUUAUGAAUGUCA